AGUGAACGCUGGCGGUAGGCCUAACACAUGCGAGUCGAACGGCAGCACAGUAAGAGCUUGCUCUUACGGGUGGCGAGUGGCGGACGGGUGAGGAAUACAUCGGAAUCUACUUUUUCGUGGGGGAUAACGUAGGGAAACUUACGCUAAUACCGCAUACGACCUACGGGUGAAAGCAGGGGAUCUUCGGACCUUGCGCGAUUGAAUGAGCCGAUGUCGGAUUAGCUAGUUGGCGGGGUAAAGGCCCACCAAGGCGACGAUCCGUAGCUGGUCUGAGAGGAUGAUCAGCCACACUGGAACUGAGACACGGUCCAGACUCCUACGGGAGGCAGCAGUGGGGAAUAUUGGACAAUGGGCGCAAGCCUGAUCCAGCCAUACCGCGUGGGUGAAGAAGGCCUUCGGGUUGUAAAGCCCUUUUGUUGGGAAAGAAAAGCAGCAGGUUAAUACCCCGCUGUUCUGACGGUACCCAAAGAAUAAGCACCCGCUAACUUCGUG
rnacentral:rRNA from 1 species